GUUCUGGAGAUGCAUCAGCAGAAAAAGCAGCUAACACUUAUGAUACAGGUUACAGCACGAGAAAAGCUGAGGUGGUCAAUGUCGAAUUACCAGGAUUUCUCUGUGGUAGGACUGUCAACCAGAACCAGUGGAAUAAGGGUGAAGGCUGAUUGAAUAUGCAAAGGAAUUUGCUGCAAACAUAUCAGUGAGUGAUAGAAUGCAAGAUGAGAAUCAGGGCCUCCCUUGUAUGGAGACUUCAUCAAUGUGGAAAAUUUUUAUCAAGUAUCUAGAAGUAUUGGAAACAAUGCUGCAGAAGCCUCACUUCCAUCCUUUAAAACAAUGCAGAGAGAUGUAUCGUGAUGGAUUAGCAUUUGGUUACAUGAUAACUUUUGCCAAAGUGGUAAAGCAGACUUCUGAUUUACAAGUCAAGGACCCAAAAAGUAUCUUUGAUGGCAUUUCUGAAACUCUUUAGGACUUAGCAUUGCAUGGCUUUGACGUUCAGCCCAUACAGAAACGUCUCACUGAGUUGCAGUUAGUGAAAGAUAGGCAAGAACAGCUUCAAGAGGCAUUGAAAGAAUUUCAACAUCAGAUCUUAGAAUGCAUUUGUGAGCAAAUGAAAAUCGAUGCAGAGUUUGCUAAAGUUGUCGAGGAAAUGAUGUUGUUAGAAGAAAA